rnacentral:rRNA from 1 species
GAUGAACGCUGGCGGCGUGCUUAACACAUGCAAGUCGAACGGUGAAGCCAAGCUUGCUUGGUGGAUCAGUGGCGAACGGGUGAGUAACACGUGAGCAACCUGCCCUGGACUCUGGGAUAAGCGCUGGAAACGGCGUCUAAUACUGGAUAUGAGCUUCUACCGCAUGGUGGGGGUUGGACAGAUUUUUCGGUCUGGGAUGGGCUCGCGGCCUAUCAGCUUGUUGGUGAGGUAAUGGCUCACCAAGGCGUCGACGGGUAGCCGGCCUGAGAGGGUGACCGGCCACACUGGGACUGAGACACGGCCCAGACUCCUACGGGAGGCAGCAGUGGGGAAUAUUGCACAAUGGGCGGAAGCCUGAUGCAGCAACGCCGCGUGAGGGAUGACGGCCUUCGGGUUGUAAACCUCUUUUAGCAGGGAAGAAGCGAAAGUGACGGUACCUGCAGAAAAAGCGCCGGCUAACUACGUGCCAGCAGCCGCCGUAACAC